AACCAGUCUUUUGGGUAUGAAACCCAUUUGGGCGAGAGUAGUACUAGGAUGGGUGACCUCCUGGGAAGUCCUCGUGAAAGGGUUU
rnacentral:rRNA from 1 species